GACGAACGCUGGCGGCGUGCUUAACACAUGCAAGUCGAACGAUGAAGCUGGAGCUUGCUCCGGUGGAUUAGUGGCGAACGGGUGAGUAACACGUGAGAAAUCUGCCCUUCACUCUGGGAUAACUGCGGGAAACUGUAGCUAAUACCGGAUACUUUCCCUGGUGGGCAUCAACUAGGGAAGAAAGAAUUUCGGUGAAGGAUGAUCUCGCGGCCUAUCAGCUAGUUGGUGAGGUAAUGGCUCACCAAGGCGACGACGGGUAGCCGGCCUGAGAGGGUGACCGGCCACACUGGGACUGAGACACGGCCCAGACUCCUACGGGAGGCAGCAGUGGGGAAUAUUGCACAAUGGGCGCAAGCCUGAUGCAGCAACGCCGCGUGAGGGAUGACGGCCUUCGGGUUGUAAACCUCUUUUAGUAGGGAAGAAGCGAAAGUGACGGUACCAGCAGAAAAAGCACCGGCUAACUACGUGCCAGCCGCCGCAGUAA
rnacentral:rRNA from 1 species